GACGAACGCUGGCGGCGUGCUUAACACAUGCAAGUCGAACGGUGAAGCGCCUUCCUUUUUGGUGGGUGUGGAUGAGUGGCGAACGGGUGAGUAACACGUGAGUAACCUGACCCCUUCUUCUGGAUAACCGCAUGAAAGUGUGGCUAAUACGGGAUAUUCUGGGUCUGUCGCAUGAUGGGUCUGGGAAAGAUAUUGUUUCGGUGGGGGAUGGGCUCGCGGCCUAUCAGCUUGUUGGUGGGGUGAUGGCCUACCAAGGCGGUGACGGGUAGCCGGCCUGAGAGGGUGGACGGUCACACUGGGACUGAGACACGGCCCAGACUCCUACGGGAGGCAGCAGUGGGGAAUAUUGCACAAUGGGCGCAAGCCUGAUGCAGCGACGCCGCGUGAGGGAUGGAGGCCUUCGGGUUGUGAACCUCUUUCGCCAGUGAAGCAGGCCUGCCUCGUUUGUGGGUGGGUUGACGGUAGCUGGAUAAGAAGCGCCGGCUAACUACGUG
rnacentral:rRNA from 1 species